AAUCUAGUAUGAAUUUGUGAAAUGACUUGAGAGGUGUAGAAUAAGUGGGAUUCUUUUUCAACACAAAUGAAAUACAACUACUUUUAACAUUAUUUUACUUAUUAUGUGGGGUGGAGAGGAGCAUUUACCCUAUUUUUGGCCUUAAGACACGUUUUGAUGGCUCGAUCUGGGAGAAAGACAUUUUCAAGUGGGGAUU
rnacentral:ncRNA from 1 species